rnacentral:snRNA from 1 species
GUACUCGCUUCGGCAGCUCAUAUACUAAAACUGGAAUGAUACAGAGAAGAUUAGCAUGGCUCCUGUGCAAGGAUGACACGCAAAUUCGUGAAGUGUUCCAAAUACUA